UUCAAAUUCAAUUUAGGGCAAACUUGAACUCACUUGUUUUGACUCACAACCUAAAAAGAUCUCUAUAUACACCGUUGAUCUGCCUCUCAGUUACUGUUUUCGUCUCUCUUCUCAUGUCAGAAUCACUUCGGCUUUGAUCCCCAACGAUCUCCGACUUCAUUAGUUUCUAUUAUGAUGCCUUCUUAUUUCUGUUUGUUAUCUUUAGCUCACUAUUUAUUGUAAAUCUGGGUUAUUUUUCUAGGGGAUUUGGAAGGCAAUCCUUUUUUUUUUAUUGGAGUUGGAUUUUAUGUUUUAUGGAUUUUAGUGUGAAUAAUGGAGGAUAUAGUUUGCAAUUUAGUUUUGGCAUUUGUUUGGUUACUGAGAAACCGUUGGAAUAUAGAAGGAAAUGAGAUACCAUAUGGGCUCUUUAACAUUGCUUUAAGUGAACCAAGUAGAGGGAUUGGGGUUUUUUCUUUCCUAGUAUUUUGUUGAAGGAAUGGCGAAUGAAUACUUUAGAUUUUAACAAGCUUUUAAAUUUUUCACUUUUUCCAUUGUAUCGUGACAACCCAGGAAAUAAUUAUGUCAUUGAUUCUUAGUUUUAUUUUAUUUGUUGAAUGCGAAUCCAUUCUUUGCUCAAUAAUAUAAAUUACAUUGCUGCAUUGUGUGCUGAAAAGAUUUUAAGGGGUCUCGCUACAAGAACCAUUUGAUUAAGAGAGUACUUUUUUUUGGAAGUGUUGCUUGACCAGUGUGAACCAGUGUUGCUCGUUUCCUUGUUCACUUUGUUGUGGAUAAAAUUAGUACUAGAAGUUAAGGUUUAGGGUUUUGUGAAAGGUGACUUCAACUUGUGAUAAUUGUUUAAGAACACAGAAAGUUGUAGUGAAGCACAAGGGGGUUCUCUAUGUCAGUGAUAUGUAUAAAAGCAUAACUGUUAUCUGCAUGUUUUAUGAAAGAAAUGGUAUAAAUUGAAAACUGAUGUUUGGUAUUGAAACUUAGAGAGAUGCAUUAUGUUAUAUUUGUUGGUUGGUUACGAUUUAUAAUUUUUUUUUUUCUUUGUUGCAUCUAGUGCGUGUAUGUUUUGCUUGUUACAUUUGAAGUGAAUGAGUGUCUUACUAUUGAGUCUAGCUGCUGCUUUCUUUCAUAAAGCUCGUCUUUCAAAUUCUGUGCAUCCACAACAUCUAAGAAGGAAGAAGGUUAG
rnacentral:misc_RNA from 1 species